rnacentral:rRNA from 1 species
GAUGAACGCUGGCGGCGUGCUUAACACAUGCAAGUCGAAGAGAGUGGCGAACGGGUGAGUAACACGGGAGUAACCUGUCCUUUUCUUUGGGAUAACCUUCCGAAAGGGUGUUUACUACCUUAUGUAAAGGGUGGGCUCGCGGUCUAUCAGCUUGUUGGUGGGGUGAGGGUUUACCAAGGCGUUGACGGGUAGCCGUCCUGAGAGGGUGGUCGGUAACAUUGGGACUGAGAGACGGCCGAGACUCCGGCGGGAGGCAGCAGUGGGGGAUAUUGCACAAUGGGCGCAAGCCUGAUGCAGCGACGACGCGUGGGGGAUGAAGGCCUUCGGGUUGUAAACUUCUUUGGCUCUGAACGUGUAGGGGUUGAUUAGCGCCGGCUAACUCCGUGCCAGCAGCCGCGGUAAUUC